rnacentral:rRNA from 1 species
AUUGAGCGCUGGCGGCAUGCCUUACACAUGCAAGUCGAACGGCAGCGCGGACUUCGGUCUGGCGGCGAGUGGCGAACGGGUGAGUAAUACAUCGGAACGUACCCUGUUGUGGGGGAUAACUAGUCGAAAGAUUAGCUAAUACCGCAUACGACCUGAGGGUGAAAGUGGGGGACCGGAAACGGCCUCAUGCAGCAGGAGCGGCCGAUGUCUGAUUAGCUAGUUGGUGGGGUAAAGGCCCACCAAGGCGACGAUCAGUAGCUGGUCUGAGAGGACGAUCAGCCACACUGGGACUGAGACACGGCCCAGACUCCUACGGGAGGCAGCAGUGGGGAAUUUUGGACAAUAGGGGCAACCCUGAUCCAGCAAUGCCGCGUGUGUGAAGAAGGCCUUCGGGUUGUAAAGCACUUUUGUCCGGAAAGAAAUCGCGCUGGUUAAUACCUGGCGUGGAUGACGGUACCGGAAGAAUAAGCACCGGCUAACUACGUG